rnacentral:misc_RNA from 1 species
AGCAGCCGCGGUAAUUCCAGCUCCAAUAGCGUAUAUUAAAGUUGUUGCAGUUAAAAGCUCGUAGUUGAACUUCGGGGUCUACCCAUUGGUCAGGCUUAAUUGUCUGUACUGGUGAGAUGGAUCUCUACCUUCUGAGGAACUUUCAUGCCAUUUAUUGGUGUGGUUGGAAAUCAGGACUGUUACUUUGAAAAAUUGAGUGUUUAAAGCAGACUAUCGUCUGAAUACAUUAGCAUGGAAUAAUGAAAUAGGACGGACUGAUUCUAUUUCGUGGU